CCUACGGGCGGCAUCAGUGGGGAAUAUUGCGCAAUGGGCGAAAGCCUGACGCAGCGACGCCGCGUGAGGGAUGAAGGUCUUCGGAUCGUAAACCUCUGUCAGCAGGGAAGAACGGUCACUGUGCUAAUCAGCAGUGAAUUGACGGUACCUGCAAAGGAAGCACCGGCUAACUCCGUGCCAGCAGCCGCGGUAAUACGGAGGGUGCGAGCGUUAAUCGGAAUUACUGGGCGUAAAGCGCUCGUAGGCGGUAUGUCAAGUCAAGGGUGAAAUCCCCGCGCUCAACGUGGGAACUGCCUUUGAAACUGGCAAACUGGAGUGUGUGAGAGGAUAGUGGAAUUCCAGGUGUAGGAGUGAAAGCCGUAGAUAUCUGGAGGAACAUCAGUGGCGAAGGCGACUAUCUGGCACAUAACUGACGCUGAGGAGCGAAAGCGUGGGUAGCAAACAGGAUUAGAUACCCCAGUAGUC
rnacentral:rRNA from 1 species